UAACAUGGAGAACAACAAAUUCAACUUCAAACACGAGAACCAGUUUUCCAAUCUAUCACUUACUUCUCUGACUCUGUCGGAUAACCUCAUCACCUUCAUACCAAAUACUGCUUUCCAUGGACUGACAGCGUUAAGAACUUUGGACUUGCGAAACAACCAGAUUGGCAGGAUUCUGAAAGUCAUGUUAAAGGAUUUAACUGCAUUGACUAGCCU